rnacentral:rRNA from 1 species
CCCCCGAUCAGUGGCGAACGGGUGAGUAACACGUGAGUAACCUGCCCCAGACUCUGGGAUAACAUCGGGAAACCGGUGCUAAUACCGGAUAUGAGACGAGAUUGCAUGAUCAUCGACUGGAAAGAUUUAUCGGUCUGGGAUGGACUCGCGGCCUAUCAGCUAGUUGGUGAGGUAGUGGCUCACCAAGGCGACGACGGGUAGCCGGCCUGAGGGGGCGACCGGCCACACUGGAACUGAGACACGGUCCAGACUCCUACGGGAGGCAGCAGUGGGGAAUAUUGCACGAUGGGCGCAAGCCUGAUGCAGCAACGCCGCGUGGGGGAUGAAGGCCUUCGGGUUGUAAACCCCUUUUAGCAGGGAAGAAGCGAAAGUGACGGUACCUGCAGAAAAA